UACAGAGGUCUCAAGCGUUGUUCGGAUUCAUUGGGCGUAAAGGGUGCGUAGGUGGCUCGGUAAGUCGGGUGUGAAAUUUCGGAGCUUAACUCCGAAACUGCAUUCGAUACUGCCGUGCUUGAGGACUGGAGAGGAGACUGGAAUUUACGGUGUAGCAGUGAAAUGCGUAGAGAUCGUAAGGAAGACCAGUGGCGAAGGCGGGUCUCUGGACAGUUCCUGACACUGAGGCACGAAGGCCAGGGGAGCAAACGGG
rnacentral:rRNA from 1 species